rnacentral:misc_RNA from 1 species
GAUGAAGAACGUAGCGAAAUGCGAUAAGUAAUGUGAAUUGCAGAAUUCAGUGAAUCAUCGAGUCUUUGAACGCACAUUGCGCCCCCUGGUAUUCCGGGGGGCAUGCCUGUCCGAGCGUCAUUGCUGCCCUCAAGCACGGCUUGUGUGUUGGGCCCCCGUCCCCGGUUUCCCCCGGGGACGGGCCCGAAAGGCAGCGGCGGCACCGCGUCCGGUCCCCGAGCGUAUGGGGCUUUGUCACCCGCUCUGUAGGCCCGGCCGGCGCCAGCCGACACCCAACUUUAUUUCUAAGGUUGACCUCGGAUCAGGUAGGGAUACCCGCUGAACUUAAGCAUAUCAAUAAGCGGAGGA